rnacentral:rRNA from 1 species
GACGAACGCUGGCGGCGUGCCUAAUACAUGCAAGUUGAGCGCUGAAGGUUGGUACUUGUACCAACUGGAUGAGCAGCGAACGGGUGAGUAACGCGUGGGGAAUCUGCCUUUGAGCGGGGGACAACAUUUGGAAACGAAUGCUAAUACCGCAUAAAAACUUUAAACACAAGUUUUAAGUUUGAAAGAUGCAAUUGCAUCACUCAAAGAUGAUCCCGCGUUGUAUUAGCUAGUUGGUGAGGUAAAGGCUCACCAAGGCGAUGAUACAUAGCCGACCUGAGAGGGUGAUCGGCCACAUUGGGACUGAGACACGGCUCAAACUCCUACGGGAGGCAGCAGUAGGGAAUCUUCGGCAAUGGACGAAAGGCUGACCGAGCAACGCCGCGUGAGUGAAGAAGGGUUUCGGAUCGUAAAACUCUGUUGGUAGAGAAGAACGUUGGUGAGAGUGGAAAGCUCAUCAAGUGACGGUAACUACCCAGAAAGGGACGGCUAACUACGUG